UAAGACGUAGGGGGCGAGCGUUGUCCGGAAUUACUGGGCGUAAAGGGCUUGUAGGCGGGAUGGCGCGUCGUGGAGUAAAUCUCUCGGCUCAACUGAGAGAACAUCUGCGAUACGGCCGUUCUUGAGGACAGAAGAGGAAAGCAGAAUUCCCGGUGUAGCGGUGAAAUGCGUAGAUAUCGGGAGGAAUACCAGUGGCGAAGGCGGCUUUCUGGUCUGAUUCUGACGCUGAGGAGCGAAAGCCAGGGGAGCGAACGGGAUUAGAUACCCCGGUAGUCCUGUUGCUGUAAACGAUGGAUACUAGGUGUAGGAGGUAUUGACCCCUUCUGUGCCGCAGCUAACGCAAUAAGUAUCCCGCCUGGGGAGUACGGCCGCAAGGUUG
rnacentral:rRNA from 1 species